rnacentral:ncRNA from 1 species
CAGAGUAGGCAACGUGCAUUAAGUGCCGCCGGGAUGGGAAGUCGCCCGCGGACGAAAAACCCACAGGGCCAUACCGCACAAUCGUGGUGCGAGUUACGCCGCAAGGUUUGUGACACGGUGCUGCGUCCGC